CUGGCAAAUCGCGAAGUUGCUGCCGGUUUUAAUCGGCAGAGGAAAGUCCGAACACCACCGCGCGCUUGCGCGCGGUAAGUGGGUGAUGGAUAACAUCCAUCGUAUCGCGUUAUCUAGCUCAAUUACAGCACUUGAUAAUCGCGGUAUAGGGAAAGUGCCACAGAGACAAUACUAGCCAGUAUUUUAUGCUGGUAAAAGGUGAAAAGUUGCGAGCCAACUCGCAUCUCUUGUAUGGCAACAUUCAAGAGCGGUAAACCCCACCCGGUGCAAGGCCGAGUCGGGCGCAAUAUCGCGACCCGAAGCGCCGCUUGAGGCAUAGUGGCAACAUUAUGCCCAGAUAGAUGACUUCGCCCUGCGCUUUCCGAUUGUUUAGCGAUAGCGAUCUUAUUUGAUACACGAUUUGAAAGCGCAGGGACAAAAUUCGGCUUAUAGAUUUGCCGGAACA
rnacentral:RNase_P_RNA from 3 species